UCUGAAGUCUACCUCAACACAUAAUCCCAAGUUGCAAUUGCCUGGUGGGAAACUGAGACUUUGUUUGGACAAACUCAGUCAACUUUUUCAGCCCCACAUUCUGCCAACGAGGGGUCUUAAGAAGGCUGAGAUCUCUGGAUGGCUCUGAAGUCCAUAAAGGAGCAGAGGCCAGUGUGUGAAGAUAGAAGUGGGAACUUCUCAGCAAGACACCCUCAUGUCCAGAGUCACACGGGAAGAAAAAUGGGAAGAGUCUAAGCAGAAAUACAGAGAAGCUCAUUCAGCAUGUCUAUUAUUUAGGAUUAUGAAAGCAACACCUACAUGAUGUGUUGGAAUAAUGGUUAGAGCAGCAAGGGACGCUACAUGGUGAAAGGUGAGAUUUCCCACUAGGGGGCACUGUGACAUCCACAGGUACUGUUACCCAAGUACAACAAAGGUAUCAUUAGCAUUCACACUUCUGUAGUCAGGGUCCUGUAUGGAAUAUUAUAUGGAUUAAAGUUUGAUGCUACAAUGGAUGGUCUACCUGGGAUGGCAUAAGUGUUGUUCGUAUGAGUACAACUGCAUAUGUGGAUGCAAGUAUAUACAAACAUCUCCAUAUAUAGAUAUGAGUUAAAAGUGGGGUAGACAGAGAUUGGGUGGUAUUAUUUUAACAAGUGGCCAUCACCUUGGAAGAAGGGGAUUAGCUUCUGUUGAGUGUGUAUUGUAGACUAAGUCUUUUCGUACAUUUUUGCAUUUAACCUUCAUAGUAGCUAUGGAAGGUAGCAAUUACUGCUCCACAUAAUACCAAAGAGGAAACUUGUUGGAUCUCAUACACUUUAAGGAACUUGCCCAAGGUCAUAAAACUGGGUAGUUACAGGGCCUGAAUUAAAAUCCAGUUCUGUUGAGCUUCAUAACUGUAAUAUAGUAUUGAAAACCAUAAUACAGUCAUGCCUCACAUCACAUAGGCUUGCUACGGUUUCUUGUAAUGUGCAAAUUAACUCCAGGGGCUAUGGUUUGUGGUAUGUUUGCACAAACAAUACUACAUGUGCAUUACACAAAAUGAAAAUCAUGUAUAUGCAAAAUAUGUGAAAGUUUGAUCUGGGUUGGAUGGCAAGUAUAUGUAAAAAGUUAAAUAUAUAAAGCAUUCCACUUUUCCCCUUUUUACCUCAAGAUAAUUAUUAAAGAACCCUAUCUAGAAAAAUACAUGCAAAUGAAUUCCAAUAUAUAAUUCAAUAAACAUAAGAGUCAUUUAAAAGAAUAUUAAGCUUAUUUUAAAGUUGACAUAUCAAAUCCACAUGUAUACAUAAUUAAAGCCAUCCACUGUUUGCCUCAAAAUGCUUUAGCACUAAGGUAAUGACAUGAAUUCCAUUUAAAUUUUCUCUUUAUGCUUUAGGAAAAACCAUUUCAACUGCGAUAGUUGAUGUCACCCACUUAACAGUGGUCCAUUGUCAAUGAAGG